rnacentral:lncRNA from 1 species
GGUUUUGGGAAGCCCUGGCUGGAGCAGGCUCCGAGCUGGAGCAGGUUUCGGGGCCACCCUCAUCCUAGCAGGCUCCCAGCCGGAGCAGGUUUCAGGGCCGUCCCGGUGUGCUCUGAACCGGAGCAGGUUUUGGGGAGCCCUAGCUGGGGGAGGCUCCGAGCUGGAGCAGGUUUUGGGACCAUCCCCAUGUGCUCCAAGCCGCAGCAGGUUUUGGGGAGCUCCAGCUACAGCAGGCUCCAAACCAGGGCAGGUUCUGGGACCAUCCCAGCGUGCUCCAAGCCGGAGCAAGUUUUGGGAAGCCCUGACUGGAGCAAGCUCCAAGACAGAGCAGGUUUCUGGACCAUCCCAGCGCGCUCCAAGCCGGAGCAGGUUUUGGGGAGCCCUGGCUGGGGCAGGCUCCAAGCUGGAGCAGGUUUCGGGGCCACCCUCCUCCCAGCGCACUCUAAGCCAGGGCAGGUUUUGGGGAGCCCCAGCUGGGACAGGCUCCAAGCUGGAGCGGGUUUUGGGACCACCCUCAUCCCAGCGUGCUUCCAAGCUGGGGCAGGUUUCAAGGAGCCCUGUUGGGAUUCGGGGAGCCCCGGCUGCAGCAGGCUCCAAGCUGGGGCGGGUCUCAGGACCAUCCCAGCGUGCUCCAAGUCGGAGCAGGUUUUGGGGAGCCCCAGCUAGGGCAGGUUCCAAGCCGGAGCAGGUUUUGGGACCACCCUCAUCCCAGCGUGAUCCUCAUCCCAGGACAGGGUCCAGGGAGCCCCGGCAGGGUUCAGGGAGCCCCGGCGGAUUUCGGGGAGACGCGGCGGCAGCCUUACCCCGUUCGGCGAGGUGCAGGGACGGUACCGGAUCCUCGAGGCCGGAGCCGAUAGCCGCUCGCUCCGCCAUCGACUUCAAGGUGCUGAGGGGCUCCGGGGCCUGGCAGAGGCAGAGGCGGAAGAGUGGGAAGCGGGCGCUGCCCUCCCGGAGCCUCCCGGCCCCUCCCGUUAAUCCCUGCCCCGACCCAGGUGCCGGGGAAGCCUCCCCCGCCCCCGCCG